rnacentral:rRNA from 1 species
GACGAACGCUGGCGGCGUGCUUAACACAUGCAAGUCGAACGGAAAGGCCCUACUUGCAGGGUGCUCGAGUGGCCAACGGGCGAGUAACACACAGGUGAUCUGCCCAUUACUUUGGGAUAAGCCUUGGCAACUGGGUCUAAUACUGGAUAGGACCAUGCUGUAGGUGGUGUGGUGGAAAGUUUAGUUUCGGUAUGGUAUGAUAUCGCGGCAUAUCAGCUUUUCGUUAGGUAAUUGGCCUAACAACGCGUCAACGGGUAGCCGGCCUGACAGGGAGCACGGCCACAUUGGGACUGAGACACGGCGCAGACGCCGACAGGAGGCAGCAGUGGGGAAUAGUGCGAAAGAGGCGCAAGCCGGAUGCAGCGACGGCGCGUGGAGGAUGACAGCCUUCGGGUUGGAAACUCCUUACGGCCAUGACGAAGCGCUUGUGGUGACGGUAGUGGUAGAAGAAGCACCGGCUAACUACGUG